UGGGGAAUUUUGGACAAUGGGGGAAACCCUGAUCCAGCCAUCCCGCGUGUGCGAUGAAGGCCUUCGGGUUGUAAAGCACUUUUCGCAGGAAAGAAACGUCAUGGGUUAAUACCCCGUGAAACUGACGGUACCUGCAGAAUAAGCACCGGCUAACUACGUGCCAGCAGCCGCGGUAAUACGUAGGGUGCAAGCGUUAAUCGGAAUUACUGGGCGUAAAGCGUGCGCAGGCGGUUCGGAAAGAAAGAUGUGAAAUCCCAGAGCUCAACUUUGGAACUGCAUUUUUAACUACCGGGCUAGAGUGUGUCAGAGGGAGGUGGAAUUCCGAGUGUAGCAGUGAAAUGCGUAGAUAUGCGGAGGAACACCGAUGGCGAAGGCAGCCUCCUGGGAUAACACUGACGCUCAUGCACGAAAGCGUGGGGAGCAAACAGG
rnacentral:rRNA from 1 species